rnacentral:ncRNA from 1 species
AUAAUGGCAGGCUAUGAGGUUAGCCUUUAUACGCUCUUUUUUGAGCUGAUGACCUCUACUUUUUA